rnacentral:rRNA from 1 species
GAUGAACGCUGGCGGCGUGCCUAAUACAUGCAAGUCGAGCGAACGGACGAGAAGCUUGCUUCUCUGAUGUUAGCGGCGGACGGGUGAGUAACACGUGGAUAACCUCCCUAUAAGACUGGGAUAACUUCGGGAAACCGGCGCUAAUACCGGAUAAUCUUUUGAACCGCAUGGUUCAAAAGUGAAAGACGGUCUUGCUGUCACUUAUAGAUGGAUCCGCGCUGCAUUAGCUAGUUGGUAAGGUAACGGCUUACCAAGGCAACGAUGCAUAGCCGACCUGAGAGGGGGAUAGGCCACACUGGAACUGAGACACGGUCCAGACUCCUAAGGGAGGCAGCAGUAGGGAAUCUUACGCAAUGGGCGAAAGCCUGACGGAGCAACGCCGCGUGAGUGAUGAAGGUCUUCGGAUCGUAAAACUCUGUUAUUAGGGAAGAACAUAUGUGUAAGUAACUGUGCACAUCGUGACGGUACCUAAUCAGAAAGCCACGGCUAACUACGUG